rnacentral:rRNA from 1 species
UACAGAGGGUGCAAGCGUUGUUCGGAAUUAUUGGGCGUAAAGCGUGUGUAGGCGGCUUUGCAAGUCUGGUGUGAAAUCCCUCGGCUUAACCGAGGAAGUGCGCCAGAAACUGCAGAGCUUGAGUACCGGAGAGGAUGGUGGAAUUCCCCAAGUAGAGGUGAAAUUCGUAGAUAUGGGGAGGAACACCGGUGGCGAAGGCGACCAUCUGGACGGAUACUGACGCUGAGACGCGAAAGCGUGGGGAGCAAACAGG